rnacentral:rRNA from 1 species
CCUACGGGGGGCAGCAGUGGGGAAUAUUGCACAAUGGGCGCAAGCCUGAUGCAGCCAUGCCGCGUGUAUGAAGAAGGCCUUAGGGUUGUAAAGUACUUUCAGCGGGGAGGAAGGUGAUAAGGUUAAUACCCUUAUCAAUUGACGUUACCCGCAGAAGAAGCACCGGCUAACUCCGUGCCAGCAGCCGCGGUAAUACGGAGGGUGCAAGCGUUAAUCGGAAUUACUGGGCGUAAAGCGCACGCAGGCGGUCAAUUAAGUCAGAUGUGAAAGCCCCGAGCUUAACUUGGGAAUUGCAUCUGAAACUGGUUGGCUAGAGUCUUGUAGAGGGGGGUAGAAUUCCAUGUGUAGCGGUGAAAUGCGUAGAGAUGUGGAGGAAUACCGGUGGCGAAGGCGGCCCCCUGGACAAAGACUGACGCUCAGGUGCGAAAGCGUGGGGAGCAAACAGGAUUAGAUACCCCAGUAGUC